CCUGCAGCGUAGAGUGAAAGUUGGUUGGUGGAAAUCGAUUAAAAAGUAAGAAAGAAGACGGCGACGCUGCAGGGCAGCGGCGGAAGCCAUCGUGGUGGUCGUCGGCGGGAAGUGAGGUUUUCUGAGGAAGUAAUCGAGCACUCGACCCCGAAGACUACGCCGAGCCCGUACGGCUUUUCUAUGUCGGGAAGACGGCUUACCAGAAAGGCUGCGAAAGAUGAAAAAGAGGCGGCGGCGGCGGCUGCAGCAGAAGAAAAGGAAGAAGAACGUAGCAUGGGGUUCCAACCGGAAUUGCUGGCCGAGAAGGAAGCAAGGACCGAGCAGCAGCAGCCCAGAGAGGAGCUACUAGCUGGAUCUUUCAAAGAAGAAUGUUCCUCAAGUGAAGCCAAAAACAGAGUGUCCAACAAAAAAUGUAAUGGCAAAAUGCAAAUACAGACAGAAAAUACUAACAUUGAAAUGUCGGGUGUCAUUCUCACUCGACCGCCUAUUAGGACUUCAAGAGAAGGUAAUCCUCCUUCCCUGCCUGUAACUCCUGAGCUCAAGAGAACUUUGAGAGGUAAGCAAAGAAAAGGUUCUAGGGCCUGGUGGGAUGGGAAGCAAGCCUAAAGCCUGUAGGAACACAGUGGGAAGGGGAGCGGGCCCAGGAGUUGCGGGGAUCCUGCACGGCAGGGGAAGUGAAGCACAAAGGGUGGCGAAAGCCUGGAGCAGAGGCUCCUCAUGCCCUGCUUAAUGACUUGCACAGUCAUUUAACAACAGCAUCAGGGAGAGCAGGGACUGGAGGUUGUUAAGCAGGUUCCGUUAUGGUCAUUGGUCAAGGACUACCUCUGCAGCCCAUGUAAUAGUAGAUGCGGAAAUAAUGCAUCUCCCAGCAACUCUCAAUGUAUAUUUUAUGAGAUUGAAAUCAGGUGACUUUGCAGUCACUUAUUGAUAACAAACUGAUAACAAAGGUUGCUAAUUUGCCUUUGAUGCAUAUUGGUGGGCUGUAGGAGACAGACAGAUAGCGGAAUCUCUGGUUUUAUUUGUGCAUGCCUGGAUUAUGUCAAUAGUCUCUUUGACAACUAUUCCCAAUUCCUUUCUCUGUUCCCUGAUCUUAGUGCUGUUUUGGGCCUGCCAGUCAAUAUUCGUGUCUCACAGUACACUUUUUUUUACGAACUCCCUUUUUAAGACAGAAGCAGCUAAAACUAUUGGUGCUUGUAUUUAAAGUUAUCCACUUCAAAUAUCUAUUUGUCCUUAUUUCUCUUUACAAUCCUGUUCACUCUUUAGGUUUCUUUGAGUAGAGCUUUCUUUCUGUUUGUUGUUCCAAGAAUACAAUCUUCAUGUUGUGUUCUUAAAGGAAUGAGAUCCUUAAAGCUGGAAGAACUUUAAAAAGGGCUUAAAUACCUGAAUAUUCAACUACAGUAGUAGGAUAUUGUAGGGUAUGGUUAGUCAUCCUACUGUCAUUAAUCUUGGCAAUUCCUAGACUUGCUUUUUUACU
rnacentral:lncRNA from 1 species